rnacentral:rRNA from 1 species
UACGUAGGGUGCAAGCGUUAAUCGGAAUUACUGGGCGUAAAGCGUGCGCAGGCGGUUGUGUAAGACAGAUGUGAAAUCCCCGGGCUCAACCUGGGAACUGCAUUUGUGACUGCAUGGCUAGAGUUUGUCAGAGGGGGGUGGAAUUCCACGUGUAGCAGUGAAAUGCGUAGAUAUGUGGAGGAACACCGAUGGCGAAGGCAGCCCCCUGGGAUGUGACUGACGCUCAUGUACGAAAGCGUGGGGAGCAAACAGG